CUUGCGGCCUCCGUAGCAGCGUGCGCAUGCGCGCCGGGUUCCGUCGCCGGCCUGUGUGGGCCCUGUGGCCGCGGGCGGUGGAGUGAGGGGGACGGUGUCCGCGCUGGGCUGGCUUCCCGCCGGCCCGCGGGACGGAAGCUGUCAGGGAAGGACGCGGAGAGCCGCGAUCACCCGCGCUCGGGUUUAGUAGUCGCUGCCUCCCACCUCCGGGAGUCGGGACCCAGAGGGAGACAGUCUGACCCUGCCCACCUGUGGAUGGCUGCCAAAAAGACAAAAAAAAGACAUUAACACAUCCCCUCCUCCAGGCUGGCAGUUCCAGGGGAUAUUUGCAAAACGUGGUGUUGUCAGCCAUAAAAUCCCUGCUGAGGUCACAGCUCUGCUGUAAAUGGAGCUUCCAGUCACCCUAUUAAUGUCCAUCUGAGGUCUUCAGGAAACUCCUUUACUAGUCCCUCAAAGCAAGGGACCCUCUCACGACUUUGAAUGAAUGAACCAGCUAUAAAUGAGUUUUGGAUGUUGCUUGCUUAAAAGCAAAGAGCCCAAGCCUCGACCCCCCUCGGCGGGCAUCCCUUCUCCUGCGCUGAUGCGGUGCCCAUCCUGCUGACCAGUGACACGCAGGUGACAGCCCCUCGGCUUUCACACCUGCGUGGGGCUCCCUUACAAACAGGUUUGGCGUCCAGAGGGUCUCAACUUUUCCGCUCGGUUUGGAUCUCAGUUUUUCCAUAUGGCAAGUGAAGUGUUGGACUACC